GCGGGCUUCGGCCUGGCGGCGAGUGGCGGACGGGUGAGUAAUGCAUCGGAACGUGCCCAGGAGUGGGGGAUAACGUAGCGAAAGUUACGCUAAUACCGCAUACGUACUGAGGUAGAAAGCGGGGGAUCGAAAGACCUCGCGCUCAUGGAGCGGCCGAUGUCGGAUUAGCUAGUUGGUGAGGUAAAAGCUCACCAAGGCGACGAUCCGUAGCUGGUCUGAGAGGACGACCAGCCACACUGGGACUGAGACACGGCCCAGACUCCUACGGGAGGCAGCAGUGGGGAAUCUUGGACAAUGGGGGAAACCCUGAUCCAGCAAUGCCGCGUGUGGGAUGAAGGCCCUCGGGUUGUAAACCACUUUUGGCAGGAAAGAAAUCGCCUGUGCUAAUACCAUGGGCGGAUGACGGUACCUGCAGAAUAAGCACCGGCUAACUACGUGCCAGCAGCCGCGGUAAUACGUAGGGUGCGAGCGUUAAUCGGAAUUACUGGGCGUAAAGCGUGCGCAGGCGGUUUUGUAAGACAGAUGUGAAAUCCCCGGGCUUAACCUGGGAACUGCAUUUGUGACUGCAAGACUAGAGUGUGUCAGAGGGAGGUGGAAUUCCGCGUGUAGCAGUGAAAUGCGUAGAGAUGCGGAAGAACACCGAUGGCGAAGGCAGCCUCCUGGGAUAACACUGACGCUCAGGCACGAAAGCGUGGGGAGCAAACAGGAUUAGAUA
rnacentral:rRNA from 1 species